AUCUUCCUCUAAUUGACAGCCUCAUUCGGGUGUUUCAAAAUAUGGAACAUUGUCAGAAGAAAUCAGAGAACUCAACAGAGCCUAACACAGAAGAAACUAAAAAGUCUGAUUUAACCCAAGAUGAUUUCCACUUGAAAAUCUUAAAGGAUAUUUCAUGUGAAUUUCUUUCUAAUAUUUUUCAGACAUUAACAAAGGAGACUGUGUCUCGUGGACUAAAGGAGGGCCAGUUAAACAAACAGAAAUGUUCCUGUGCAUUUCAGAACCUCCUUCCUCUCUAUAGCCCUGUGGUGGAAGACUUUAUUAAAAUGUUACAUGAAGUUGACAAGGCCCUUGCUGAUGACCUGAAGGAAAGUUUCCCAAGUUUGAAGGUUCAGACUUAAGACUGGAUUAGAAUUUCUUCUGUUCAAGAAAUAAACAUUGUUUUUUCAUAAUUGAAAUGGACACCUAGGAAAUAUUAGAUACAGUUCAUAUUUGGGUAGUAUUGCAUUCAUGUCCUUCUUCCUCCCCAGUCUUACAUUAUUUUUAUUUGUACUGGAAUCUGGAGUUUCACUGUUAUCAUCUCUUUCCCUGUUUUGCAUUUGUUACAUGUUAUUUAUCUUUAAUUAAGAAAAAAAUAUGAACCUGUGAUUGAGGUUCUUUUUAGAAUGUUUGAGAAGUUGGUGAGGAUAACUCUCGGUUUUUACAUUAGACUUUUGUAUUUGUAUCCACUACAAAUACAUGUAGCUGCAGAAACAGAAAACUGUACUAAAAUAGCUUAAUCUGAUAGCUUUUAUGUAUUUUAUGCACUAAGAAGUACAGAGAAGGGCAGUGCAGACCUGAGAGGUAGCUCUGUGUCUCUGUCUCCUUCACUUUCCCACUUGGUCUGCCAUGUGGACAGACCUUUGUGUUCAUGUUUAUUGUGUGUGGCUAAGGGGCUGUACCAUGUCUUCCAUCCACAUUCAAGAAGGCGGAAAGUCAAGCGGUAAAGGGGCUUUCUCCUAGCAAGUCUGACCCACUCUUACUGGGAAAGGCUCUUUGGCUUCCUUGUGUCUCUGUGUCAGGUGGCCAUCCCUGACUGUUAAAAUGUGGUUGUUUUGUUUCUUUUUCAGUGUAAGAGGGAAGGGAUGACUAGCUUUUGGAUAAUAAGUCCAUGUGUCUGCCACAACAUGUGAAUACAUUUUAGCCAUUUUGAGUGUCAUUUGUGUUGGUUCCUCUCUGUAUUCUAGAAACAAUUCAAAAGCAGUUACUGUUCACCCUUGUUACAUUUUCAUGUUUUUCUAUGUUGUACAUAGGAAGGUAGAAAUGCUGACAUUUUUAAAAAUUCAUUAAUAAAAUUCUCUAUUUUCAGCAUAAUUCUAGUGGUUGAAUUUGAGAAAGUGAUUUGCUCUAGCAAAUUUAAAUUAAGAUUGAGGGAUUUCAGUAACUUCUGGUGGCUUACAAGUCUUGCGUACAUGGUAUCUCCCUCAUACUUCAUCACUCUUUGUGGGGGACAGUACUGGUGUUUGAACUCAGGGCCUUGCUCUUGCUAGGUGUUAGAAAUAUCUUUAAGAUAUUGCAGUGUCACAAGAGAGAUGACACUACUCAGAAGUCAAUAAGGAAGGCAAAAUUUACUUCUGCCAAAGGGUGGACACCAGGAAAUCUGAGAGGUAUGCACACCAGGUGGGAAGUCCACAGGGGUUUUAUCUGAAACCAUGCUGUCCCUCUCCUGCCCCUGUAUUGGGUGUGUUUUGGACUCACAGUCUGUGCAGUUGGCUAAUUAAAAAGGGGCCAGGUUAGGAGGGGGCUUUGGGAAAAAGAAGCUUAAAAGUUCAGAGAAGCAAUAACUGUUUUGGGUAAUCAGCUCCAGAAUGAGGGCAUCUAGCAGAAUUUGUGCCCCGUUGAGGAUAACAAUCCUUUGUACUUAAUAGAAACUUUUAUCAUAUUAAGCUGAGUUAAUGAAGCAAGCGUAUGGGAAUCGAAUUAGUAAGGCAGUUACUACUGAUUAAAUUCUGUGACGGAAGGACCUGACCUAAGCAGAUUCUUACGCUAGGUAAGCACUGUACCACUUGAGCCACACUUCCAGCCCCUUCAUUACUCUCUUUAGUGCUUCCUAGAAGUGUGUUCAGAUAAUCAACCAGGUGUACCUAUAGAAGCAUCCGUGUGCAUUAUUUCAAAAGUGGAAUUUCUAAUAGUU